GACGAACCGUGCGAACGUUGUUCGGAUUCACUGGGCUUAAAGGGCGCGUAGGCGGGGGGUCAAGUCCGAGGUGAAAUCUUUCGGCUCAACCGGAAAAGUGCCUUGGACACGGACUCUCUCGAGGGAGGUAGGGGCAUGUGGAACUUCCGGUGGAGCGGUGAAAUGCGUAGAUAUCGGAAGGAACGCCGGUGGCGAAAGCGACGUGCUGGACCUCUUCUGACGCUGAGGCGCGAAAGCCAGGGGAGCAAACGGG
rnacentral:rRNA from 1 species